rnacentral:rRNA from 1 species
GACGAACGCUGGCGGCGUGCUUAACACAUGCAAGUCGAACGGAAAGGCCCUGCUUUUGUGGGGUGCUCGAGUGGCGAACGGGUGAGUAACACGUGAGUAACCUGCCCUUGACUUUGGGAUAACUUCAGGAAACUGGGGCUAAUACCGGAUAGGAGCUCCUGCUGCAUGGUGGGGGUUGGAAAGUUUCGGCGGUUGGGGCUGGACUCGCGGCUUAUCCGCUUGUUGGUGGGGUAGUGGCUUACCAAGGCUUUGACGGGUAGCCGGCCUGAGAGGGUGACCGGCGACAUUGGGACUGAGAGACGGCCCAGACUCCUACGGGAGGCAGCAGUGGGGAAUAUUGCACAAUGGGCGGAAGCCUGAGGCAGCAACGCCGCGUGCGGGAUGACGGCCUUCGGGUUGUAAACCGCUUUCGCCUGUGACGAAGCGUGAGUGACGGUAAUGGGUAAAGAAGCACCGGCUAACUACGUG